rnacentral:rRNA from 1 species
AUUGAACGCUGGCGGCAGGCCUAACACAUGCAAGUCGAGCGGAGCGGCGGACGGGUGAGUAAUGCCUAGGAAUCUGACUGGUAGUGGGGGAUAACGUCCGUAAAAGGGCGCUAAUACCGCAUACUAUCAGAUGAGCCUAGGUCGGGUUAGCUAGUGGGUGGGGUAAAGGCCGACCAAGGCGACGAUCCGUAACUGGUCUGGGAGGAUGAUCAGUCACACUGGAACUGAGAAACGGUCCAGUCUGAUACGGGAGGCAGCAGUGGGGAAUAUUGGACAAUGGGGGAAGGCCUGAUCCGGCCAUGCCGCGUGUGUGAAGAAGGUCUUCGGAUUGUAAAGCACUUUAAGUUGGGAGGCGGUACCAGCAGAAUAAGCACCGGCUAACUUCGUGCCAGCAGCCGCGGUAAUUC